UACAGAGGUCUCAACCGUUGUUCGGAUUCAUUGGGCGUAAAGGGUGCGUAGGCGGUCGUGCAAGUCGGAUGUGAAAUCUCAGGGCUCAACCCUGAAACUGCAUUCGAUACUGCGUGGCUAGAGUGCUGGAGAGGAGACUGGAAUUUACGGUGUAGCAGUGAAAUGCGUAGAUAUCGUAAGGAAGACCAGUGGCGAAGGCGAGUCUCUGGACAGCAACUGACGCUGAGGCAUGAAGGCCAGGGGAGCAAACGGG
rnacentral:rRNA from 1 species